CAUGCAAGUCGAGCGGAGACAGUGAGUAGCUUGCUAUGAGCUGUUUUAGCGGCGGACGGGUGAGUAACGCGUGAGCAACCUUUCCCAGACAGGGGAAUGACACACCGAAAGGUGUACUAAUACCGCAUAAGACCACGGAAUCACAUGGUUCUGAGGUAAAAGAUUUAUCGGUUUGGGGUGGGCUCGCGUCCGAUUAGGUAGUUGGUGAGGUAACGGCCCACCAAGCCGACGAUCGGUAGCCGACCUGAGAGGGUGAUCGGCCACAUUGGGACUGAGACACGGCCCAAACUCCUACGGGAGGCAGCAGUGGGGAAUAUUGGGCAAUGGAGGAAACUCUGACCCAGCAACGCCGCGUGGAGGAAGAAGGUUUUCGGAUCGUAAACUCCUGUCCUUGGAGACGAGUAGAAGACGGUAUCCAAGGAGGAAGCCCCGGCUAACUACGUGCCAGCAGCCGCGGUAAUACGUAGGGGGCAAGCGUUGUCCGGAAUAAUUGGGCGUAAAGGGCGCGUAGGCGGCUCGGUAAGUCUGGAGUGAAAGUCCUGCUUUUAAGGUGGGAAUUGCUUUGGAUACUG
rnacentral:rRNA from 1 species